rnacentral:lncRNA from 1 species
CCUCCACCCACGGAGGAAACAUUUACACUAGUGCUAGCCAGAAGGGAAUUGUUUAUCCCAGUGGUUGGAACUUGAGUUGUGGAAAGCCUGGCUACUGCAGGAUAAAGUACUCGGGGUCCUUAAUAAACCUGAAAGGCUGUCUAAGCCACAAGGACUGCAACUCUUAGGCAAGUCCUAGUGCUGUGCCGCGCUUGGAGCCAGUGUAUUUGGGGGCAUGUGACCUAGAGAAACAGCAGCUAGGGCAGCUAUGGAGUGCUUGCCCACCCCUCCUCCAACCCUAGACAGUGCAGCUCGCAGCUCUGACAGAGACCUCUUUCUUCCGCUUGAGGAGAGGAGAGAGGAGAGGACUUUGUCUUGCAUCUUGGAUACUAGCUUACAGUAGGAGGGGGCACUGGUCAGAGUCAUGAGACCCCCCUUUCAGGUCUCAGCUUUGGGAUAACAUCUCUAGACAAACUCUGGGCUACAAGGGAACCUGCUUCCUUGAAGGGAAGGACUCAGUAAUGGCAGGAUUCUUCACUAUCUGACUAAAGAGCCCUUGGGCCUUGAAUAAUCAGCAGUGGUAACCAGGUAGUACAUGCCAUGGGCCUCGAGUGAGACUCAGAGAUGUGCUGGCAUCAGGUGUGACCCCGCACAUUCCCAGCUGUGGUGUCUGUGAGGAGAGACUCCCUCUGCUUGAGAAAAGCCGAAGGCAGAGUAAAGAGGAUUUUUCUGGAGCUUAGACACCAGCUCAGCUACAGUGGAGAAGAGCACCCAGUGGACUGUUGGAGUCCCUGAUUCAGGCCUUGGCUCUUAGAUGGCAUCUCUGGACUUAGCCUGGGCCAGAGGGGAGCCCACUGUCCUGAAGAGUGAGUUCCAGGCCAGACAGCAUUCACCACAAGCUGACUGAGAGCCCUGAGGCAUUAAGUGAACAUCAGUGGUGAGCUGGCAGUAAUCCGCAUGAGACUGUGAUGACGUCGUAGGUGGGAACAGACUACCCUGCCUGGGGAGAGGGGAGGGGAGAGUGGGAAGGGAUUUGCCGGGUGGAUUCAGUGCCAGCUCAGCGAUGGUAGAACAGAACACCAGGUAGAUUUAUAAGGUUUAUGACUGAGAGCCCUGGCUCUCAGACAGCACCUUUGAAUGCAUCUAGGGACCAGGGGAGCUUACUGCACUGAAGGGAAGGACAGAAGCCUGGCUGGCUUCACUACCUGCU